UCUGAUUUAGCAUAUAUAUUUAAUGCAUUGGAUUGUAAAUCCAUAAAAAGUUUAAAACUA
rnacentral:tRNA from 2 species